GACGAACGCUGGCGGCGUGCUUAACACAUGCAAGUCGAACGGAAAGGCCCUGCUUUUGUGGGGUGCUCGAGUGGCGAACGGGUGAGUAACACGUGAGUAACCUGCCCUUGACUUUGGGAUAACUUCAGGAAACUGGGGCUAAUACCGGAUAGGAGCUCCUGCUGCAUGGUGGGGGUUGGAAAGUUUCGGCGGUUGGGGAUGGACUCGCGGCUUAUCAGCUUGUUGGUGGGGUAGUGGCUUACCAAGGCUUUGACGGGUAGCCGGCCUGAGAGGGUGACCGGCCACAUUGGGACGGGGAUACGGCCCAGACUCUUACGGGAGGCAGCAGUGGGGAAUAUUGCACAAGGGGCGGAAGCCUGAUGCAGCAACGCCGCGUGCGGGAGGACGGCCUCGGGUUGUAAACCGCUUUCGCCUGUGACGAAGCGUGAGUGACGGUAAUGGGUAAAGAAGCACCGGCUAACUACGUG
rnacentral:rRNA from 1 species